CAACGUGGAAAAUACAACAAGAUUGCCAUAACAACACAAGUAAAUAAAGCAUCACACGUACAGUACGUAACUAUGGAAACAGCUGUGGAAAUAAUUGUAUCAACAGGGUGUUGUUGGUUUUUGUUUGUAUUAUGUUCUGGGUGUGAGCCAGACAAUGAUGGUCAAGUUUUAUGAUAGAGGUCUCUUUCUUCAUCUGUGAAUUGGCCUUCUUAGUGUUUCUCUAAAGAACAUAUAAACAGAAAUGUGUGCCAUCUUCAGCUCUUCCUAUGAUCAAUUAAGCGUCCCAAAUGGCACCAUAUUCCUUAUAUAUUGCACUACUUUUGACAUAAACCUGGUGGGCUCUGGUCAAAAGUAGCACAUUAUAUAGGGAGCAGGGUGCCAUUUGGGAGGUACACUAAAUGUUUCUUUACCAAGACAACUGCAACACUUCUGGCCGCUGAUACAUUUAGCUCUGGGGAGUUGUUUCCCAAGCAAAGAUGCUAUAGAUACCAUAGACAGGAUGAUAGUGUAACUAGUCUAGUCCAUAGACAGGAUGAUAGUGUAACUAGUGUGUGUGUGUGUGUGUGUGUGUGUGUGUGUGUGUGUGUGUGUGUGUGUGUGUGAGUGUGNNNNNNNNNNUAUUGCGUGUGUGUAUUUGGCGCUAUCACACACUCAAAUAUUGCGUGUGUGUAUUUGGCGCUAUCACACACUCAAAUAUUGCGUGUGUGUAUUUGGCGCUAUCACACACUCAAAUAUUGCGUGUGUGUAUUUGUGGUAGAAUGAUCUUUUCUUUGUUAAACUGGGUGUAUGUGACAAUACAAACAUCUCAAUCUAAAGAGAUAAAGUGGAUCAGUGAAGGAGAGAGAGAGAGAGGUAUGUUUCCUCUGUCACCCUACUCCACUGCAUCCUGAUACACACUCUCACACACACACUACACAGAACAUGACCAACGUGUACAUUGGACCACUGUACAGACCAACGUGGAAAAUACAACAAGAUUGCCAUAACAACACAAGUAAAUAAAGCAUCACACGUACAGUACGUAACUAUGGAAACAGCUGUGGAAAUAAUUGUAUCAACAGGGUGUUGUUGGUUUUUGUUUGUAUUAUGUUCUGGGUGUGAGCCAGACAAUGAUGGUCAAGUUUUAUGAUAGAGGUCUCUUUCUUCAUCUGUGAAUUGGCCUUCUUAGUGUUUCUCUAAAGAACAUAUAAACAGAAAUGUGUGCCAUCUUCAGCUCUUCCUAUGAUCAAUUAAGCGUCCCAAAUGGCACCAUAUUCCUUAUAUAUUGCACUACUUUUGACAUAAACCUGGUGGGCUCUGGUCAAAAGUAGCACAUUAUAUAGGGAGCAGGGUGCCAUUUGGGAGGUACACUAAAUGUUUCUUUACCAAGACAACUGCAACACUUCUGGCCGCUGAUACAUUUAGCUCUGGGGAGUUGUUUCCCAAGCAAAGAUGCUAUAGAUACCAUAGACAGGAUGAUAGUGUAACUAGUCUAGUCCAUAGACAGGAUGAUAGUGUAACUAGUGUGUGUGUGUGUGUGUGUGUGUGUGUGUGUGUGUGUGUGUGUGUGUGUGUGUGAGUGUGNNNNNNNNNNNNNNNNNNNNNCCCCUACACAUCCUCAAGACUACAUACACCUCCAAUCCCU
rnacentral:lncRNA from 13 species